UUUAAAGUCUGACCUGCCCAAUGAGAGUUUGAAUGGCCGCGGUAAUUUGACCGUGCAAAGGUAGCAUAAUCAUUAGUUUUUUAAUUGGAAGCUGGAAUGAACGGUUGGACGAGGGAAUGACUGUCUCAAUUUAAUUUAAUUAGAAUUUUAUUUUUAAGUAAAAAAGCUUAAAUAAUUUUAAAAGACGAGAAGACCCUAUAGAGUUUUAUAUUAAUAUUUAAGUUGGUAAUUAAGAAUUAAUUAUUUAGCUUAAGUGUGAGUAUUUUGUUGGGGUGACAGAAAAAUUUAAUUAACUUUUUUUUUAUUAAAUCAUUAAUUUAUGGUUGAAUGAUCCGUUAAAGAACGAUUAUAAGAUUAAAUUACCUUAGGGAUAACAGCGUAAUUCUUUUUGAGAGUUCUAAUCGAAAAAAGAGUUUGCGACCUCGAUGUUGGAUUAAAAUUAAUUUUUGGUGUAGGGGCUAAAAGAUUAGGUCUGUUCGACCUUUAAAAUUUUACAUGAUCUGAGUUUAAACCGGCGUGAGCCAGGUUGGUUUCUAUCUUUAAAUAAGAAGGAUAUCUUAGUACGAAAGGACCUGAUAUUCAUUAUAUUAAUUUAUUUUUGAUUAUUAUUG
rnacentral:rRNA from 1 species